CCUACGGGAGGCAGCAGUGGGGAAUAUUGCGCAAUGGACGAAAGUCUGACGCAGCGACGCCUCGUGAGGGACGAAGGUCUUCGGAUUGUAAACCUCUUUCAGCAGGGACGAAGCGAAAGUGACGGUACCUGCAGAAGAAGCACCGGCUAACUAUGUGCCAGCAGCCGCGGUAAUACAUAGGGUGCAAGCGUUGUCCGGAUUUAUUGGGCGUAAAGAGUUCGUAGGCGGUUUUUCGCGUCGGAUGUGAAAACUCAGGGCUCAACCCUGAGCCUGCAUUCGAUACGGGAAGACUCGAGGACGGCAGGGGAGACUGGAACUUCUGGUGUAGCGGUGGAAUGCGCAGAUAUCAGAAAGAACACCAAUGGCGAAGGCAGGUCUCUGGGCCAAUCUUGACGCUGAGGCGCGAAAGCUAGGGGAGCAAACAGGAUUAGAUAUCCUGGUAGUCCUAGCUGUAAACGAUGGAUACUAGGUGUUGGAGGUUUUAACCCCUUCGGCGCCGCAGCUAACGCAUUAAGUAUCCCGCCUGGGGAGUACGGCCGCAAGGCUAAAACUCAAAGGAAUUGACGG
rnacentral:rRNA from 1 species